AGAUUUUCUGCUGUAAGGAAAGUUGUAGUCGCGCAACUGUUCGACUUCAGCCAUCCGAUGAAGAUUGGAUGGCUCGGCUUUUUAAAUUCCAACCAAUCAACUUUAAAACAUAAUUUUGGAAUACAAUCUGUUUAAUCUUUAUUCGAUUUCCAUUUAUGUGUAAAAUGGCAUGCCUUGGUGGUAGUUAUGUUUAUGAUGAAAAUGUGGACUGCAGGCCAACCUUGGGCGAAUGUGAAAGCUAGAGUGAGGAAGGGUUAUCCAUCAGUGCAAUACGCAUCAUGGAUGUUCUGGCCUGUUGUGGGGGUGAUAAAUUACAAAUUCAUGCCUCUUCAUUUCCGUGUUGUUUUCCACAGCUUAGUAGCAUUUUGCUGGGGAAUAUUCUUGAACCUUCGAGCACGGUCUGUGGCAUUGAUUAAACCCUGAAGAAAAUGAGAUUCUGAUUUAUAGCCUUCAAAUUAAGUAGAUCCUCCUGCUUAUUACUCCUUUAGAAGUUUGUUUUGUCCUUAUUUUCAAUGUGUGUGUGUGUGUGUAUGAAUUGUCGACGAAUAUUUGAGAUAAAGUAGUAAUUAAGCAAGAUAGGUUUCAUUGUUUAUGGCAACUUUGUAUAUUAGAGAAUACAUUUUUAGAAAGUACUUUUUCUUCCUUCAAGACCAUUGCCAGUUAUAUGGUCAUAGUUUAUGUACUAUGGUAAUUUUCUGAGUAAUGUAAUAAUUUCUCAAACUUUGGAUGUUUGAGCUUAUUUCUUCA